AAUGAACGCUGGCGGCAGGCCUAACACAUGCAAGUCGAACGCCCCGCAAGGGGAGUGGCGCACGGGUGAGUAACGCGUGGGAAUAUGCCCUUCGGUUCGGAAUAACACAGGGAAACUUGUGCUAAUACCGGAUACGAUCUACGGAUGAAAGAUUCAUCGCCGAAGGAGUAGCCCGCGUAGGAUUAGCUAGUUGGUGAGGUAAUGGCUCACCAAGGCGACGAUCCUUAGCUGGUCUGAGAGGAUGAUCAGCCACACUGGGACUGAGACACGGCCCAGACUCCUACGGGAGGCAGCAGUGGGGAAUAUUGGACAAUGGGCGAAAGCCUGAUCCAGCCAUGCCGCGUGAGUGAUGAAGGCCUUAGGGUUGUAAAGCUCUUUCGCCAGGGAAGAUAAUGACGGUACCUGGAAAAGAAGCCUCGGCUAACUCCGUGCCAGCCGCCGCAGUAACAC
rnacentral:rRNA from 1 species